rnacentral:rRNA from 1 species
AUUGAACGCUGGCGGCAUGCCUUACACAUGCAAGUCGAACGGCAGCGGACCUUCGGGUGCCGGCGAGUGGCGAACGGGUGAGUAAUAUAUCGGAACGUACCUUUCAGUGGGGGAUAACGUAGCGAAAGUUACGCUAAUACCGCAUAUUCUGUGAGCAGGAAAGCAGGGGAUCGCAAGACCUUGCGCUGAUUGAGCGGCCGAUAUCAGAUUAGCUAGUUGGUGAGGUAAAGGCUCACCAAGGCGACGAUCUGUAGCGGGUCUGAGAGGAUGAUCCGCCACACUGGAACUGAGACACGGUCCAGACUCCUACGGGAGGCAGCAGUGGGGAAUUUUGGACAAUGGGCGGCAAGCCUGAUCCAGCCACUGCCGCGUGAGUGAAGAAGGCC